rnacentral:rRNA from 1 species
CCAGACUCCUACGGGAGGCAGCAGUGAGGAAUAUUGGUCAAUGGGCGGGAGCCUGAACCAGCCAAGCCGCGUGAAGGAAGAAGGCGCCAGGCGUCGUAAACUUCUUUUGUCGGGGAACAAAGGGCGCCGCGUGUGGCGUUGUGAGUGUACCCGAAGAAAAAGCAUCGGCUAACUCCGUGCCAGCAGCCGCGGUAAUACGGAGGAUGCGAGCGUUAUCCGGAUUUAUUGGGUUUAAAGGGUGCGUAGGCGGCCCGGAAAGUCCGGGGAAAAAGCCCGGGGCUAAACCCCGGCGAGCCGUUGAAACUGUCGGACUAGAGACGGCGAGUAGUACGCGGAAUGCGCGGUGUAGCGGUGAAAUGCAUAGAUAUCGCGCAGAACUCCGAUUGCGAAGACAGCGUACCGGCGCCGGACUGACGCUGAGGCACGAAAGCGUGGGUAUCGAACAGGAUUAGAUACCCGCGUAAG